AGGCUUUGAAAUAAGGCCUGCUUGGGCGCCAGGACCCUGGGAAACAAAGCCUCCCCUCACUGCUGAAACAGUGUUAAUUAGGGGGGGUCUGGAUUAUAUCCUCCUCGUCAGGACCUUGGAAGAUAACACCUACUGUCACUGCUGGGGCAGUGCUAAUUGCUGGAACAACGCCUGUUGGUCAGGGCCCUGAGAAAGAAGGGCAGAACCCGAGGAAUCAACACAUUUGUCAGCAGAAACCGCAACAGUAAAGAUAAGGGAGAAAAGCAGCCUGCCUAGGAACAAUGAUGAGACCCAAUAGGGAGCAGGAGACCCCAGACCCAAAAAUUACUAUUGGUCUGAACUACCGCGUGAGGGGUGGGAAACUUAAUUUGAAAAAGCUAUAAUUGCCCAGGGAUUUCUUUGUUCAGGGUCCCUCUUCGAAGGCACCCAACUCGAGCUGUAACUACUGCACGCGUGUCAUUACAAUUUAUUUAUUUAAUUUGCCUUGAUUUGGCUCCGAACUUUUCAGCGGGAACCUAGGGUCGGACCCUGCUCGAGUUGUAAUUACUGCACGCGCAUCGCUAAAAUUUACACCCAGGGUGAAGAGGACCAACGGGACGCCGCUGGAUCCACGGACAAUUCAAAUAGAACCUUCUGAAGUACUUGCCAUCCUUCAGCUGAAGACUGGAAAUACACAAUGCUAAUCACCACAAUGAAGAUAUAAUGACUUCUCUUGAAUAAUCUGCUUCAUGCUAUGAAGGCAUUCAGGAAGAGCCAAAGAUAUAUUUGCUAGCAGCUUUACCAGAAGCAGGAAUCAUCCAUGAAUAUUGCAGAUAGUGAAUAGUGUGGAUAAAGCCUGAUCAACACCUCCCUUGGGAGCUGAGUUGAAAACAGAAUAGCAACAAACUUCUGCAUUUCAAAACAGGUUCUUGAGGCCAGAUAGUUCACACUAACCAUUGAACAAGGCACUGGGAAGCAGAACAUGUAGGCUAUACAGGAUUCUGUAACGCUUUGGCCCAAGUCGAUUUUAGGCCAAAGGAAGAAAUAUCUUUAAAAAUAAAAGCUGUUCAUUUCUUCCCCUUCAUUAAGGACUCCUUCAUUUGCUUACUCAGGAAACCUGGCCUGAAGGAAAAUCUGAGGAUUUGUAUCUGCCUUAGUUAUAAAAGGACCAAACCUCACCAACUUAACAAAUGGGUCCUUCCUGCUUCCCAAAGCUCCCACCGAAGCACCCUGCACCUUUCUCCAUACAUCAGCAGCCUUCUGCACUGCGUAGCCAGCUCUCUGAUGCCCUAGUCAGGGCUUCUGCACCAACACCUUCAAAGAUUUUUUAAGUCAGCUAAUACUACUAUCAUUCAAAAACACUUCUCUAAACCCAAGAUCUGUUUCAAACCACUUAAAUUCUUGUCCAGUGUUAGGCAUUUGAAUACCAAGAAAAAAUAGAUUUGAAGUGAUUGACUGUAAACUCAACUGUAGUUUUUUAGUAAACCUGAGAAAAGAAAGUAAUAGUCAAGAAAAAAAUGUUUUUUGUGUUUUUGCUCUAGGAAACUGAUUUUUCCUAUUGACUCGUUAUUAUCAAGUUUUGACACCUUCAUUCAUGUCACUGAUCACUUUUUGUCAGUGUAAAAUGUCUCCAGCCAAUUUAUUACAGAUUUCAAUCCGUAAAUAAUCUUCAGAUAGUAUGUACUAUUCAGAGAACUCUCAUGGAUACAGGAUACAAAUAUUAAGAGAGGAUUUGGAACUUGAAGAACUAAACAGAACUAGGUUACCUGUGCUUAUGUGCUACUUAGUUUCAUAUCACACUGGCACAUGCUUACAGCAGUACAUUUAAAACAGGAUCUUAGCGUUUUUGCAUCAAAGCAGCAUUGGUAAGUUGAUUUGGUUUGAUCCAGACAGAAUUUCCUCCUUUUUUGUUGGCAACCCAACUUGCCCCCAAAGCCCUCUAUUUGCACAGACUUAAUUAUGUGCUGUCAAACAUCUUUAGGUGUCUUCCAAACUUCCAGAUUAGAAGCUCUAAUGGAAUUUUUGGCUCAUACUUUGUUCCACCCUGGCUGCUUUGCUGACUUUAUACCAUGUAUUCUCUGAAAUGUUUGCAAAUCACUCUGGGAUUUCAAAAGCCAUUGAAAGAUAUGAGAUUGUGUAGCCUCUCCCUCAAAUGUGGUCUCCAAAACUAAGCCAGGCAAAAUUAUUCUUCCCAAUUUCACAAAAAUUGAGGAAUAUUGUGAGAGAAAACAUGAUCAUUUGUUUAUCUCGUAUUUAGUCAAAAUAGCUUUGCACACAGUCAGUGUCACCGCUGACACAGGCACUAAUAAGAGGGUUGUUUUGUAAGAAAAAUAUUUAUUGGAAAAAAAAGUUUAAAAAUGAAGUGGACUUGAAGUUAUCUUACAGUGAACGCAAAUAAACAAGAAUCAAGUGUCUGUUUCCAUUUUCUGAAGGCAUCCUGGAUAAUUAAAAAGUGAAGUAUUAUUUCAUUUUAUAUUGUAAUAAUUAACCUAUAGACCAUGUUUGAUUCAAAGUGUGUUUCAGGACUGCAAAUUUAAAACAGCCACAAUUUUUUUUUUUUAUCCUCUGUGUCUAUUUCUAUUAACAGAAAACCUUGAAUUUGGCUCAUUUAAGCCAGCUUAAAUUUGUGUUCACUAUCAACAAAUACAAGUAUUUAUAUUAGAAAUCUGAUUUGAGAAAUAUCAUAAUUGAAACAAAGACAUAUCACUUAUAUGUCCGAUUUUUUAAAUCCUGUAUUCAUAGUGAACUAUGCACAAACUGACCCAUCAUAAUUUAUUUAUGAAAAGAGUGUAUAAGCAUAAAAUUAAAUGAGAGACAAUUAAAAACAAAUCACAGGACUCUAAACAACCUGGAUAAUGAUGAUUUAUC